rnacentral:rRNA from 1 species
GAAGAGAGAGUUAAAGAGGACGUGAAACCACCAGGGACGAAGCGGAUGGAGUUGACGAAAUUGGCAGUAUUCAGGUGUGUGCGAUCGUGCGUCUGUGCCUUCUGCGACCGUUGUCUGUCGUGGGGGUGCUGGUUGUAGCGUGGUCGUGCGCUCUGCAUUUGCUGUCGGUAUGUGCCGAGAGGCCUGUUUGCCUCUUCUGAACCGUCGUGUGUUGCCCUUUGCCUCACGGUGAAGGUGUCUUGCGCGGCGGGUAGGUCGAUGGUGGAUAGGUUGCGCAUUUGGCGGCUGGCCUUUGUGCGGUGUGCGUUGCGGUGUGCGUUGUGCGUGAGCGGUGGCGUGCCACUUGUUUGCGAUUUCGGCGUACAUCGUAUGCGUGCGUCGCCACAGUCGUCCUCUCGGUAUGAAAAGUCAGCCACCCAUCCGACCCGUCUUGAAACACGGACCAAGAAGUCUAGCAUGUGCGCGAGUCAUUGGGUGUAAAAACCUAAAGGCGUAAUGAAAGUAAAGGCCGACUUGGUGCGGUUGAUAUGGGAGCCGUGUUCGCAUGCGUUCGCGGUGCACCAUAGCCCCAUCCCGAGAGCUUGCUCUGGGGUGGAGGUAGAGCGUACAUGCUGGGACCCGAAAGAUGGUGAACUAUGCCUGAGCAGGAUGAAGUCAGAGGAAACUCUGAUGGAAGUCCGAAGCGGUUCUGACGUGCAAAUCGAUCGUCU